rnacentral:rRNA from 1 species
CCUACGGGGUGCAGCAGUGGGGAAUAUUGGGCAAUGGGCGCAAGUCUGACCCAGCAACGCCGCGUGAAGGAAGAAGGCUUUCGGGUUGUAAACUUCUUUUCUCAGGGACGAAGCAAGUGACGGUACCUGAGGAAUAAGCCACGGCUAACUACGUGCCAGCAGCCGCGGUAAUACGUAGGUGGCAAGCGUUAUCCGGAUUUACUGGGUGUAAAGGGCGUGUAGGCGGGAAAGCAAGUCAGAGGUGAAAACCAUGGGCUCAACCUGUGGCCUGCAUUUGAAACUGUUUUUCUUGAGUGCUGGGGAGGCAGACGGAAUUCCUAGUGUAGCGGUGAAAUGCGUAGAUAUUAGGAGGAACACCAGUGGCGAAGGCGGUCUGCUGGACAGCAACUGACGCUGAGGCGCGAAAGCGUGGGGAGCAAACAGGAUUAGAUACCCUGGUAGUC